CCGGCGCACGGGUGAGUAACACGUAUCCAACCUGCCGUCUACUCUUGGACAGCCUUCUGAAAAGGAAGAUUAAUACAAGAUGGCAUCAUGAGUUCACAUGUUCACAUGAUUAAAGGUAUUCCGGUAGACGAUGGGGAUGCGUUCCAUUAGGUAGUAGGCGGGGUAACGGCCCACCUAGUCUUCGAUGGAUAGGGGUUCUGAGAGGAAGGUCCCCCACAUUGGAACUGAGACACGGUCCAA
rnacentral:rRNA from 1 species